rnacentral:rRNA from 1 species
UACGGGGGGAGCAAGCGUUGUUCGGAUUUACUGGGCGUAAAGGGCGCGUAGGCGGCCAGCACAAGUCAGUUGUGAAAUCUCCGAGCUUAACUCGGAAAGGUCAACUGAUACUGUGCGGCUAGAGUGCAGAAGGGGCAACUGGAAUUCUUGGUGUAGCGGUGAAAUGCGUAGAUAUCAAGAGGAACACCUGCGGCGAAGGCGGGUUGCUGGGCUGACACUGACGCUGAGGCGCGAAAGCUAGGGUAGCAAACGGG